AUUGAACGCUGGCGGCAGGCCUAACACAUGCAAGUCGAACGAGUGGCGGACGGGUGAGUAAUGUCUGGGAAACCGCCUGAUGGAGGGGGAUAACUACUGGAAACGGUCUCAAAUCCCGUAUACCAUCGUAUGUGCCCAUAUGGGAAUAGCUAGUAGGUGGGGUAAAGGCUCACCUAGGCGACGAUCCAUAGCGGGUCUGAGAGGAUGACCAGCCACACUGGGACUGAGACACGGUCCAGACUCCUACGGGAGGCAGCAGUGGGGAAUAUUGCACAAUGGGCGCAAGCCUGAUGCAGCCAUGCCGCGUGUAUGAAGAAGGCCUUAGGGUUGUAAAGUACUUUCAGCGGGGAGGCGUUACCCGCAGAAGAAGCACCGGCUAACUCCGUGCCAGCAGCCGCGGUAAUAC
rnacentral:rRNA from 1 species